rnacentral:rRNA from 1 species
GACGAACGCUGGCGGCGUGCCUAACACAUGCAAGUCGAACGGGUGAGAGGAGCUUGCUCCUCGAUCUAGUGGCGAACGGGUGAGUAACGCGUGAGAAACCUGCCUUUCAGUGGGGGACAACAGUUGGAAACGACUGCUAAUACCGCAUAAUGUGCCGGGAGGGCAUCCUCCUGGUACCAAAGCUUUAUGUGCUGAAAGAUGGUCUCGCGUCUGAUUAGCUAGUUGGUGGGGCAACGGCUCACCAAGGCGACGAUACAUAGGGGGACUGAGAGGUUAACCCCCCACAUUGGUACUGAGACACGGACCAAACUCCUACGGGAGCAGCAGUGAGGAAUAUUGGUCAAUGGACGCAAGUCUGAACCAGCCAUGCCGCGUGCAGGAAGACGGCUCUAUGAGUUGUAAACUGCUUUUGAUGAGGGUAAAAUUGGGUACGUGUACCUAACUGAAAGUAUCAUACGAAUAAGGAUCGGCUAACUCCGUGCCAGCAGCCG